UUUGAUGUUCCUUGUACCAUCGCAAAGUACGUAGAAUAGAAGGUAAGUGAUAUUACCUGUGUAUACACACGGAGCGCGCAUGUGUUACACACACAAAGAAGUUAGUAAUAAACUAUUCUCAAUUUGUUCGAUGUUCGGAAGUUUUUUUUCACAUUUCUUGUUUUUAAAAGUUCAAAAAAUCGUAAGUCAAGCCGACGAUAAACACGAUAGUGUACCGCAUUUUCACUGCAGCAAUAUAUCGAAGUGCCACGUCUCGCGAUACCGGAGCAGAAAAAUUUUGAAAUUUUUGUCGAAAGUCGGAUAACUUUCCACCGUUUUCCGACCAACAAAUUGUGAGACGGGAAUGGUUAAACUUUUUCGGAUACAAAAGCUCGUUCGAUACGCGAAACAUUCAGACUCUUUUGAGGAUACUGUUUUAACCUAUAAUCAGCAAAGAAGACGUCUUCGUACUGGAGCUAUUCUAUGCGUUCGCUUCUUGGAUCUUCCAAAAAUUUUCGUUCCAACUAAAUUCCAAAAAAUUUCAAACUAAAUUCCAAAUUUAUACAUUCAAUUCUUGCGAAAGUGCAAAUUAUGUAUUUGCAAUCACUUCGGAAGAUGACCCGGGAUGGAGGAAAUGUUUUUUUCUCGUUUUCCAGAA